rnacentral:rRNA from 1 species
CACGUAGGGGGCGAGCGUUGUCCGGAAUUAUUGGGCGUAAAGCGCGCGCAGGCGGUCCUUUAAGUCUGAUGUGAAAGCCCACGGCUCAACCGUGGAGGGUCAUUGGAAACUGGGGGACUUGAGUACAGAAGAGAAGAGUGGAAUUCCACGUGUAGCGGUGGAAUGCGUAGAGAUCCGGAAGAACACCGGUGGCGAAGGCGGCCUGCUGGGCAGUAGCUGACGCUGAGGCGCGACAGCGUGGGGAGCAAACAGG